UACGAAGGGGGCUAGCGUUGUUCGGAAUUACUGGGCGUAAAGCGCACGUAGGCGGACUAUUAAGUCAGGGGUGAAAUCCCAGGGCUCAACCCUGGAACUGCCUUUGAUACUGGUAGUCUUGAGUACGAGAGAGGUGAGUGGAAUUCCGAGUGUAGAGGUGAAAUUCGUAGAUAUUCGGAAGAACACCAGUGGCGAAGGCGACUCACUGGCUCGUAACUGACGCUGAGGUGCGAAAGCGUGGGGAGCAAACAGG
rnacentral:rRNA from 1 species